GGACAGCGGCGGGAAGUAAGCCUGCUUUCUUCGUCUCUUUGUGUAUUUCACAUGCUUGCCGUGCAGAUAGAAGCUGGGAACCUUUCAGAAGAAAGUAUUGAGGGCUGCUCUCUGUUUCUAGGAAUCAAAGAACACAUUUUUAAUCAAGGCGUAAAUUUUUAGCGAACCAAGGUUCCUAAGAAAACCAUGAAAUGCCACCUUCAACGGAGGGAUGCACAUGUCACAGCAAUAACACAGCAGGGACCUGGACGAGAAGGAGCUGCGAGCUCAUUUGCGGAGGCGACUGAAUAACGACUUCCUGCCUUGUCUGAAAAUACCGCCAACAAAUGGCUACAAGGAGAUUGCAACAGCUCAAGCGGGAAGGUGAGGCUGUACCGAGGGUGCGGCUCCCACAGAACAAAGGAGAGCAUCGCAGAGACUGGAUUACCCUUGCCUACGCCUCGUCCAGCACCGGAACUCAAGCUCCUAAACCCCGGAAGGCCACGUUCAAUUACCUGCAUAAACUGACGUUAUUUGUCAAACCGAGGCAAGAGUGUGAAUUUGGGAUUGGCCUGCACUACACAGGGAGAUUAAGUAAUUAAACUGGAACAAAGACU
rnacentral:lncRNA from 1 species